GUAUCCGUAGCUCAGCUGGAUAGAGCAACGGCCUUCUCAGCCGUGGGUCUGGGGUUCGAAUCCCCACGGGUACA
rnacentral:tRNA from 1 species